AUUGAACGCUGGCGGCAGGCCUAACACAUGCAAGUCGAACGAGUGGCGGACGGGUGAGUAAUGUCUGGGAAACUGCCUGAUGGAGGGGGAUAACUACUGGAAAAGGUAGCUAAUACCGCAUACCAUCAGAUGUGCCCAGAUGGGAUUAGCUUGUUGGUGGGGUAACGGCUCACCAAGGCGACGAUCCCUAGCUGGGCUGAGAGGAUGACGCGCCACACUGGAAAUGAAACACGGUCCAGACGCCUACGGGGGGAAGCAGUGGGGAAUAUUGCACAAGGGGCGCAAGCCUGAUGAAUCCAUGCCGCGUGUAGGAAGAAGGCCUUCGGGUUGUAAAGUACUUUCAGCGGGGAGGCGUUACCCGCAGAAGAAGCACCGGCUAACUCCGUGCCAGCCGCCGCGGUAAUAC
rnacentral:rRNA from 1 species